UACGGAGGGGACUAGCGUUGUUCGGAAUUACUGGGCGUAAAGGGCGCGUAGGCGGACAGUUUAGUCAGAGGUGAAAGCCCAGGGCUCAACCUUGGAAUUGCCUUUGAUACUGGCUGUCUUGAGUUCGGGAGAGGUGAGUGGAAUGCCGAGUGUAGAGGUGAAAUUCGUAGAUAUUCGGCGGAACACCAGUGGCGAAGGCGACUCACUGGCCCGAUACUGACGCUGAGGCGCGAAAGCGUGGGGAGCAAACAGG
rnacentral:rRNA from 1 species